rnacentral:rRNA from 1 species
UGCAGUAGAACGCUGAAGAGAGGAGCUUGCUCUUCUUGGAUGAGUUGCGAACGGGUGAGUAACGCGUAGGUAACCUGCCUUGUAGCGGGGGAUAACUAUUGGAAACGAUAGCUAAUACCGCAUAACAAUGGAUGACACAUGUCAUUUAUUUGAAAGGGGCAAUUGCUCCACUACAAGAUGGACCUGCGUUGUAUUAGCUAGUAGGUGAGGUAAUGGCUCACCUAGGCGACGAUACAUAGCCGACCUGAGAGGGUGAUCGGCCACACUGGGACUGAGACACGGCCCAGACUCCUACGGGAGGCAGCAGUAGGGAAUCUUCGGCAAUGGGGGCAACCCUGACCGAGCAACGCCGCGUGAGUGAAGAAGGUUUUCGGAUCGUAAAGCUCUGUUGUAAGUCAAGAACGGGUGUGAGAGUGGAAAGUUCACACUGUGACGGUAGCUUACCAGAAAGGGACGGCUAACUACGUGCCAGCAGCCGCGGUAAUACGUAGGUCCCGAGCGUUGUCCGGAUUUAUUGGGCGUAAAGCGAGCGCAGGCGGUUUGAUAAGUCUGAAGUUAAAGGCUGUGGCUCAACCAUAGUUCGCUUUGGAAACUGUCAAACUUGAGUGCAGAAGGGGAGAGUGGAAUUCCAUGUGUAGCGGUGAAAUGCGUAGAUAUAUGGAGGAACACCGGUGGCGAAAGCGGCUCUCUGGUCUGUAACUGACGCUGAGGCUCGAAAGCGUGGGGAGCGAACAGGAUUAGAUACCCUGGUAGUCCACGCCGUAAACGAUGAGUGCUAGGUGUUGGAUCCUUUCCGGGAUUCAGUGCCGCAGCUAACGCAUUAAGCACUCCGCCUGGGGAGUACGACCGCAAGGUUGAAACUCAAAGGAAUUGACGGGGGCCCGCACAAGCGGUGGAGCAUGUGGUUUAAUUCGAAGCAACGCGAAGAACCUUACCAGGUCUUGACAUCCCGAUGCUAUUUCUAGAGAUAGAAAGUUACUUCGGUACAUCGGUGACAGGUGGUGCAUGGUUGUCGUCAGCUCGUGUCGUGAGAUGUUGGGUUAAGUCCCGCAACGAGCGCAACCCCUAUUGUUAGUUGCCAUCAUUCAGUUGGGCACUCUAGCGAGACUGCCGGUAAUAAACCGGAGGAAGGUGGGGAUGACGUCAAAUCAUCAUGCCCCUUAUGACCUGGGCUACACACGUGCUACAAUGGUUGGUACAACGAGUUGCGAGUCGGUGACGGCGAGCUAAUCUCUUAAAGCCAAUCUCAGUUCGGAUUGUAGGCUGCAACUCGCCUACAUGAAGUCGGAAUCGCUAGUAAUCGCGGAUCAGCACGCCGCGGUGAAUACGUUCCCGGGCCUUGUACACACCGCCCGUCACACCACGAGAGUUUGUAACACCCGAAGUCGGUGAGGUAACCUUU